rnacentral:rRNA from 1 species
AACGAACGCUGGCGGCAUGCCUAACACAUGCAAGUCGAACGAGACCUUCGGGUCUAGUGGCGCACGGGUGCGUAACGCGUGGGAACCUGCCCUUAGGUUCGGAAUAACUCCCCGAAAGGGGUGCUAAUACCGGAUAAUGUCUUCGGACCAAAGAUUUAUCGCCUUUGGAUGGGCCCGCGUUGGAUUAGCUAGUUGGUAGGGUAAAAGCCUACCAAGGCGACGAUCCAUAGCUGGUCUGAGAGGAUGAUCAGCCACACUGGGACUGAGACACGGCCCAGACUCCUACGGGAGGCAGCAGCGGGGAAUAUUGGACAAUGGGCGAAAGCCUGAUCCAGCAAUGCCGCGUGAGUGAUGAAGGCCUUAGGGUUGUAAAGCUCUUUUACCCGGGAUGAUAAUGACAGUACCGGGAGAAUAAGCGCCGGCUAACUCCGUG